GAUGAACGCUGGCGGCGUGCCUAAUACAUGCAAGUCGAGCGAACGGACGAGAAGCUUGCUUCUCUGAUGUUAGCGGCGGACGGGUGAGUAACACGUGGAUAACCUACCUAUAAGACUGGGAUAACUUCGGGAAACCGGAGCUAAUACCGGAUAAUAUUUUGAACCGCAUGGUUCAAAAGUGAAAGACGGUCUUGCUGUCACUUAUAGAUGGAUCCGCGCUGCAUUAGCUAGUUGGUAAGGUAACGGCUUACCAAGGCAACGAUGCAUAGCCGACCUGAGAGGGUGAUCGGCCACACUGGAACUGAGACACGGUCCAGACUCCUACGGGAGGCAGCAGUAGGGAAUCUUCCGCAAUGGGCGAAAGCCUGACGGAGCAACGCCGCGUGAGUGAUGAAGGUCUUCGGAUCGUAAAACUCUGUUAUUAGGGAAGAACAUAUGUGUAAGUAACUGUGCACAUCUUGACGGUACCUAAUCAGAAAUCCACGGCUAACUACGUG
rnacentral:rRNA from 1 species